AUACGGAAGGUCCAGGCGUUAUCCGGAUUUAUUGGGUUUAAAGGGAGCGUAGGCCGUCUGUUAAGCGUGUUGUGAAAUGUAGAUGCUCAACAUCUGAAUUGCAGCGCGAACUGGCAGACUUGAGUGUGCGCAACGUAGGCGGAAUUCGUGGUGUAGCGGUGAAAUGCUUAGAUAUAUGGAAGAACACCAGUGGCGAAGGCGGCUGUCUAGUCUGUAACUGACGCUGAGGCUCGAAAGCAUGGGUAGC
rnacentral:rRNA from 1 species